rnacentral:rRNA from 1 species
GCGGCGGACGGGUGAGUAAUGCCUAGGAAUCUGCCUAGUAGUGGGGGAUAACUUGCCGAAAGGUAAGCUAAUACCGCAUACGUCCUACGGGAGAAAGCAGGGGACUCUUCGGAGCCUUGCGCUAUUAGAUGAGCCUAGGUCGGAUUAGUUAGUUGGUGAGGUAAUGGCUCACCAAGACUGCGAUCCGUAACUGGUCUGAGAGGAUGAUCAGUCACACUGGAACUGAGACACGGUCCAGACUCCUACGGGAGGCAGCAGUGGGGAAUAUUGGACAAUGGGGGCAACCCUGAUCCAGCCAUGCCGCGUGUGUGAAGAAGGUCUUAGGAUUGUAAAGCACUUUAAGUUGGGAGGAAGGGCAGUUAACUAAUACUUGACUGUUUUGACGUUACCGACAGAAUAAGCACCGGCUAACUUCGUGCCAGCAGCCGCGGUAAUACGAAGGGUGCAAGCGUUAAUCGGAAUUACUGGGCGUAAAGCGCGCGUAGGUGGUUCGUUAAGUUAGGAGUGAAAGCCCCGG